AGAAGCAGCCAUCAUUUAAAGAAAGCGUAAUAGCUCACUGGUCGAGUCGGCCUGCGCGGAAGAUGUAACGGGGCUAAACCAUGCACCGAAGCUGCGGCAGCGACGCUUAGGCGUUGUUGGGUAGGGGAGCGUUCUGUAAGCCGUUGAAGGUGGCCUGUGAGGGUUGCUGGAGGUAUCAGAAGUGCGAAUGCUGACAUAAGUAACGAUAAAGCGGGUGAAAAGCCCGCUCGCCGGAAGACCAAGGGUUCCUGUCCAACGUUAAUCGGGGCAGGGUGAGUCGACCCCUAAGGCGAGGCUGAAAAGCGUAGUCGAUGGGAAACAGGUUAAUAUUCCUGUACUUGGUGUUACUGCGAAGGGGGGAC
rnacentral:rRNA from 1 species